UACGGGGGGGGCAAGCGUUGUUCGGAAUUACUGGGCGUAAAGGGCUCGUAGGCGGCCAACUAAGUCAGACGUGAAAUCCCUCGGCUUAACCGGGGAACUGCAUCUGAUACUGGAUGACUGGAGUCCGGUAGAGGAGUGUGGAAUUCCCGGUGUAGCGGUGAAAUGCGCAGAUAUCGGGAGGAACACCCGUAGCGAAGGCGGCACUCUGGGCCGGUACUGACGCUGAGGAGCGAAAGCGUGGGGAGCAAACAGG
rnacentral:rRNA from 1 species